GUGGGCACCUACAUUGUAUUAAAAUAUGAUGAUUCUGAGUGUAAGCAUAUUCAAACAGUUCACCAAAACAAAAAACAGAAAUUUUUCACAUUUGUUUCGUUUCCAUGGCAACGGCAGCCAUCUUGAUGAUGCCAUACCUCACUGCACUAUUUAAUGUGGUGGUCAACAUUAUGGUAUAGUUCCAUCAAUAUUGUUGAAGCCAAUUCUGAGAAAUAGUAUGGACAAAAAAGUGUGGAAGAAUAAAUAUAAAAAUAACUAGAUUUGCCAUUGCAAGCAAUAGCGGAUGGCACCCUUCCCCCAUUGCCAGGUGAGCGGCAGCCAUUUUGAAAAUUCCAAAGUCAAAGAGCUCAUCUACAGAUGUCUAUUAACAUUCUUGUAAAGUUUCAUCAAUUUUGGAGCAUUUUGAAUUUUUUGAAAUUUUUGCUAUUUCCAUGGUAACGGGUACCAUUUCCAAAAUUGCUAGCAAUAACGGAUGGCACCCUUCCCCAAUUGCCAGGUGAGCAGCAGCCAUUUUGGAAAUUCUUAAGUCAAAGACCCCAUCUAAAGUUGUAUAUUAACAUUUCUGUAAAGUUUCGUCAACUUUGGAGCAUUUUGAAAUUUUUGAAAUUUUUGCAGUUUCCAUGGUUACGGCGGCC
rnacentral:lncRNA from 1 species